rnacentral:rRNA from 1 species
AUUGAACGCUGGCGGCAGGCCUAACACAUGCAAGUCGAGCGGAGCGGCGGACGGGUGAUUAAUGCCUAGGAAUCUGCCUGGUAGUAGGGGAUACCUUCCGGGAGCGGGCGCUAAUACCACAUGCUAUCAUAUCAGCCUCGGUCGGAUUAGCUAGUUGGUGGGGUAAUGGCCUACCAAGGCGACGAUCCGUAGCUGGUCUGAGAGGAUGAUCAGCCACACUGGAACUGAGACACGGUCCAGACUCCUACGGGAGGCAGCAGUGGGGAAUAUUGGACAAUGGGCGAAAGCCUGAUCCAGCAAUGCCGCGUGUGUGAAGAAGGUUUUCGGAUUGUAAAGCACUUUAAGUUGGGAGGCGUUACCAACAGAAUAAGCACCGGCUAACUUCGUGCCAGCAGCCGCGGUAAUUC